rnacentral:rRNA from 1 species
UACGUAGGGGGCAAGCGUUGUCCGGAAUCAUUGGGCGUAAAGCGCGCGUAGGCGGCCCGGUAAGUCCGCUGUGAAAGUCCAGGGCUCAACCCUGGAAAGCCGGUGGAUACUGUCGGGCUAGAGUCCGGAAGAGGCGAGUGGAAUUCCUGGUGUAGCGGUGGAAUGCGCAGAUAUCAGGAGGAACACCGGUGGCGAAGGCGGGUCUCUGGGCCGAUACUGACGCUGAGGAGCGAAAGCGUGGGGAGCAAACAGG